AGGCCACUGCUAUCGGAGUUCGAUUAAGCCAUGCGAGUCGAGAGGUGUAAGACCUCGGCAUACUGCUCAGUAACACGUGGACAAUCUACCCUAUGGAAGGGGAUAACCCCGGGAAACUGGGGAUAAUACCCUAUAGACUAUGGAUGCUGGAAUGCUCUGUAGUUGAAAGGUCCGCCGCCAUAGGAUGGGUCUGCGGCCGAUUAGGUUGUUGUUGGGGUAACGGCCCAACAAGCCUGUAAUCGGUACGGGUUGUGGGAGCAAGAGCCCGGAGAUGGAUUCUGAGACACGAAUCCAGGCCCUACGGGGCGCAGCAGGCGCGAAAACUUUGCAAUGCGGGAAACCGUGACAGGGGAACUCCGAGUGCCCGUUAAAUCGGGCUGUCCAUCAGUUUAAAUAACUGGUGAAGAAAGGGCCGGGCAAGACCGGUGCCAGCCGCCGCGGUAAUACCGGCGGCUCGAGUGGUGGCCACUAUUACUGGGCUUAAAGCGUUCGUAGCUGGUUUGUUAAGUCUCUGGGGAAAUCUUCCGGCUUAACCGGAAGGCGUCUCAGGGAUACUGGCAGACUAGGGACCGGGAGAGGUGAGGGGUACUCCAGGGGUAGGAGUGAAAUCCUGUAAUCCUUGGGGGACCACCUGUGGCGAAGGCGCCUCACCAGAACGGCUCCGACAGUGAGGGACGAAAGCUGGGGGAGCAAACCGGAUUAGAUACCCGGGUAGUCCCAGCUGUAAACGAUGCGCGUUAGGUGUAUCGGUGACCACGAGUCACCGAGGUGCCGAAGAGAAAUCGUGAAACGUGCCGCCUGGGAAGUACGGUCGCAAGGCUGAAACUUAAAGGAAU
rnacentral:rRNA from 1 species